ensembl:lncRNA
ACUUCUUCUUCAUCUCCUUUUUUUUUUCCUCUUCUUCAUCAUUUCUUUUUUCUGUAGCUAUUACUUUAACAGUUUUAAUAGGAUUUACUUUUUUUAUUUUAUUCGAAUUAUUUGCAUUCUUUACAUAUUUUAAUGAACUGUCAUAUAAAUUAUCAAUUAUGUUAUAUGCAUUAUUGUUGUUAUUGUUAUAUGUAUAACCAUUAACACCACUACUACUACUAUUCGUUCCAAUUGCUGAUUCUCUUUUUGUGUUUAUAUAAUCAUGUGAUAAUGGGGUAGUUUCAUUUUUAUUAAUACUACCACUAUUAUCUUUAUGCAUAUCCGAAUCAAUACCAUGAAAACCUUUAGUCAUAUUUCUUCCACCUCGCAUAGGAUGUAAGGCUGACAAUGAACCAUCACGAUUAUUGUUGUUAUUAUUAUACAUAUUAUUCAUGCUAUUUUUAAAAACAUUCAUAUUACCUUGAUUACUAGUUCCUUUCAUUUUAUAAUUAUUGUUGUUAUUAUGCGUGUUUGUAUGCAUCGACAUAUUAUUAAUAUUUUGUUUUUUAUCUUUUUUAUGUGAACUGUUCAUAUCUUUAUUCCUAUUCAUAAAAUUCGAAUCAUGCUUUUUUUUAUCCAUUCCAAUAUUAUUAAUAUUGUGUAUGUUGUUACCACCAGUAGUACCCAUGUCAUAGUUAUUUGUAGAAUUUGCAUUUUUCAUCUCUUCUUUAUUAUUGUUAUUAUAUACAUCCGAUUUUGUAUUAUACAUGGUAUUUUCACUUAUAUGUUUAUGAAUGACACUAAAUUUAAAAUUCUUUUUAUGUUCAUCUCCACCGUGCAUAUGUUUCAAACUGUUGUUAGUAUUGUUAAACAGGUUUGGCAUAUUCAUAAUAUUACUAUUGUUAGUGUUAUUGGUACUGUUGUUGGUACUGUUGUUGGUACUGUUAUUGGUACUGUUAUUGGUACUGUUAUUGGUAUUGUUGUUGUUGUUGUUGUUGUUGUUGUUGUUGUUGUUGUUGUUGUUGUUGUUGUUGCCAUAUUUUUUAACACUACUAUUAUUAAAUGGGGUUUUAUUUAAUACAAAGCCUUUUUUUGCAGAAUUGUUAUUAACUAUCGUAUUAUUGUUAUUACUUCUCACAUUAUCAUUAUUAUUAUUUUUCAUAGUGUCAGUGUUAUUACCACCGGUGUGGUGAUAAGUGUGAUAAUUAUUCUGAUUGGAUUGACUACUCUGAUUAUUAUAGCUAAAGUUUCUAUUCAUGUUUGUAUUUUUUUUAAAAUUAAAUGCUUUGUUUCCUGAAGAAUUAACAAAUCCUUUGUUGUUCUCAUUAUUAUUACUAUUAUUAUUAUUACUAUUAUUAUUAUUAUUAUUAUUAUUACUAACAUUAACAUUAUUUUGAUUACUCACCAAUGUGUUUUUUUUUUAUUCAUUCUUUCAGAUUCUUCUUGUUUUUCAAAUUUUCUUUCAAUUUGUUCUGAACCCAUAUUGUUGUUAUUGUUACUUCUAUUGUAUUUUUCUUUAAACUUUUCUGUAUCAGUUGUGGUUGUCACGGUAGCAAUAUCUUUUUGUUUUUCCUUUUCGUUUGCAUUAUUUGUACUUAAAAAUUUGUCCGGAUCUGUAUUAACAGGUCUAGCUUCACCAAAAAUACUAGGAUUCGCUACAUAACUAUUAGUAUCUAUAGGGACAGUUCUUUUUUUUACAUUCAAUUUUUUUCUUUCUACAUUUUUAUUAGCAACAUUUUCAUUAUUCAUAAUUUUAUUAUGAUCAGUCAUAUUAUUUUGAAAGUUAUUAUUUUUUAAAUUAAAUGCAUUAUUGUUAUUAUUAUUAUGCAUGUUAUCAUUCAUCAUAUGUGUAUUAUUAUUACUUUGAUUUAAAUUUAUAUGAUUUAUGUAUUUUCCUUUUACAUUGUUAUAAUUAAAAUUAGGAUUCAUGUUAUUAUUUUUCAUAUCACCACCUAUUAACAUCUUAUUCUGAUUAUUAUUAUUAUCAUUAAAAAAAGCAUUAUAAUUAUUAUUCAUACCAUACAUGUUAUUAUUAUUAUUAUUUAUCAUAUUAUGAUUCAUGUUGUUCAUAUGAUUAUAAUUAUUCAUCAUGUUAUUCAUAUUGUUACUAUUAUUAUUAUUAUUAUUAUUAUUUUGACGUAAAUUUGAAAAAUUAUUUGAUCUGUUCAUAUUUUUUUUAAACUUAUUUUGUUUCUGAUUUAAAUUAAAACCUUUCACCUUUUCAUUAAUAAUAACUGAAAUUGCAUUCUGUUCACCUCCACUAUUUCCUGUCGGCAAUAUUCUACCAUUAAAUUCUAAUGAUCUAUUCAUAUCUUCUGGAUUAUCAAAUUCUACAUACGCUGCAGACAUUUUGUCCUUUCUGUUAAACAAGCUAAUUUUUUUUAUGUGGUAACCAUUGAACAAAGUGUACAAAUCGUUUUUCGUUACAUUUUCACCGAGAUUGCGAAUGUAUAUUUCGUAGCAUGGAGGAUAGUUGUUCAUAUCUGCGUAAAAAAAAUGAAAAAAUAAAAAAAAAAAAAAAAAAAAAAAUAAGGAUGAA